GGCACUAUGGCCGAGUGGUCUAAGGCGAUAGACUCGAAUGUUCUCGGGAUAUUGAGAUGAUCUAUUCUCUUCGGAGGCGUCGGUUCAAAUCCGACUGGUGUCG